AUAAAUAUUACUAAUGGUUAAGACGUCCGACCGCGCUGACUGUACGUCACGAACUCUACUUACUGUAUAUACACUGCUAACCUGUCUACCUAACUACUAUAAAAACUAGCCUCUUUUAGAAAAGAACACAAAAGUAAAAUACUAAGAACUAGCAACAAGACAUACACAUUUCUUAACAUUACAUAAUAGUUACAUAUACCUAUAAUAAUAUUUAUUUAUCGUUGUACCAAAAAAUAACAAAAAACAAUUGUGAAUCUUUUUAAAUGUUUAUGAAAAUGUUGUUUUAAUUCUUUUUAUAAAGUUCUUUUUAUCUGGCCCAUGCAGAUGGUACAAUAACAGUAUAUUCCUCCACUAUUUUUAAAUUACCCACUGUUCAUUAUUACGACAUAUGUAGAUGACUUUUAAAUAAAUAAAAAACAAUUGUGAAUCAUUUUGAACGUCUAAGAAUGUUCUUCUAAUUUUUCAUAAAAAGUUCUUCUUGUUUAGCCCAUGUAUUGUUUCAAUUAUGUCUAGGUGUUUCAAAUGGGGUGUACACAGUUGGGAACGAAAAUGUGAUUCCCCGACAUUCAACGACUACAGACAUUGAAAAACAGGCCGUUUUUAAACCCAGCUUUUUGGAGCAGUUGUGCCAAUGUUUUUCGUUUUAUAAUAACAUAAAAUCAUUUCUAAAAACCAGAGCGGGAUACGACGCCAUUGGAAUGGUUCAUGGUUUCAGAUUGUUCUCCAUGUUAUGGGUUAUAGCGGUUCAUUCAAUGUUUUAUGAAAUUGACUUUUUCGAAAAUGUUCCCGAUGGAUUCAGAUUGUCAGAAUUUUUUCUAACUCAGCCGUUCAAUAAUUCUACAUAUUGUGUGGAUAGCUUUCUAUUCUUAAGUGGUUUUUUGUUGUCCUAUCUCUAUUUCAAAACU